UAUCUGGCCUGUAUUCAGCCGCUCGUUGUCGGCCCACCGUUGCUGCACUCCAGAUUGGGAAGGCGGCGUGGGCGCUGGCUGCGUGUGGUGCAUUUGCAGGUGGAGUGCGCNGAGGCGCUCGGCUCAGCGGCAUGAGCUCAGCUUUGAGGCCAACCGUGCAAACGGUCUGGUACCCGGGCUGGGGGAGUGUUGUUUGGGCUGGGUGUUCGCUUGUGGCUGUGGUUUCGGGCCCGGGUGGGUGCCGAGCUGGCGGUCGGUGGCGGUCGCUUGCGACACGUGCCAGCAGUCAGUUCGGUCCUGCUCGAGCUCUCAUUGUGGCCCGGCCUCGGUGUAAAAGCCGGUCAUCUGUCCGACCCGUCUUGAAACACGGACCAAGGAGUUUAGCGUGUGCGCGAGUCAUUGGGCGUUGAAAACCCAAAGGCGCAAUGAAAGUGAAGGUCUGCCUUGUGCAGCUGAUGUGUGAUCCCGGGCGCUGCGGCGCACGGGCGCAACAUAGUCCCGUCCCGACUGCAUGCAGUGGGGCGGAGACAGAGCGUACGCGCUGAG
rnacentral:rRNA from 1 species